rnacentral:rRNA from 1 species
AGAGUUUGAUCAUGGCUCAGAUUGAACGCUGGCGGCAGGCCUAACACAUGCAAGUCGAACGGUAACAGCAGAGCUUGCUCUGGCUGACGAGUGGCGGACGGGUGAGUAACGCGUAGGAAUCUACCCAGUAGUGGGGGACAACUUGGGGAAACUCAAGCUAAUACCGCAUACGCCCUACGGGGGGAAAGCGGGGGACCUUCGGGCCUCGUGCUAUUGGAUGAGCCUGCGUUAGAUUAGCUAGUUGGUAGGGUAAAGGCCUACCAAGGCUACGAUCCGUAGCUGGUUUGAGAGGAUGAUCAGCCACACUGGGACUGAGACACGGCCCAGACUCCUACGGGAGGCAGCAGUAGGGAGUAUUGGACAAUGGGCGCAAGCCUGAUCCAGCAAUGCCGCGUGUGUGAAGAAGGCCUGCGGGUUGUAAAGCACUUUCAGUAGAGAAGAAAAGCCUAGGGUUAAUACCCCUGGGUCUUGACGUUACCUACAGAAGAAGCUCCGGCUAACUCCGUGCCAGCAGCCGCGGUAAUACGGAGGGAGCGAGCGUUAAUCGGAAUUAUUGGGCGUUAAAGCGCGCGUAGGCGGCCUGAUAAGUUGGAUGUGAAAGCCCUGGGCUCAACCUAGGAACUGCAUUCAAAACUGUCAGGCUAGAGUAUGGUAGAGGAUAGUGGAAUUUCCGGUGUAGCGGUGAAAUGCGUAGAGAUCGGAAGGAACAUCAGUGGCGAAGGCGGCUAUCUGGACCAAUACUGACGCUAGGUGCGAAAGCGUGGGGAGCAAACAGGAUUAGAUACCCUCCCUGGUAGUCCACGCCGUAAACGAUGUCAACUAGCCGUUGGAGGGCUUGUCCCUUUAGUGGCGCAGCUAACGCGAUAAGUUGACCGCCUGGGGAGUACGGCCGCAAGGUUAAAACUCAAAUGAAUUGACGGGGGCCCGCACAAGCGGUGGAGCAUGUGGUUUAAUUCGAUGCAACGCGAAGAACCUUACCUGCUCUUGACAUACUCGGAACUUUCCAGAGAUGGAUUGGUGCCUUCGGGAACUCGGUGACAGGUGCUGCAUGGCUGUCGUCAGCUCGUGUCGUGAGAUGUUGGGUUAAGUCCCGUAACGAGCGCAACCCUUGUCCUUAGUUGCCAGCGCGUAAUAAUGGGAACUCUAAGGAGACUGCCAGUGAAACCGGAGGAAGGUGGGGACGACGUCAAGUCAUCAUGGCCCUUAUGAGCAGGGCUACACACGUGCUACAAUGGUCGGUACAGAGGGUUGCCAAGUUGCGAGAGUACGCUAAUCCCUUAAAGCCGGUCCUA